UCGAAAAGCCAUGCCAGGGAACUCCUUGGAGCUGGCUUUGGUGUGCUCGGUCCCGGGUGCGGUGGGCAGUAGCAGGCGUACUGUCUAGGAGACGGCUGCUCCACGUUUGCACUCUGCUCUAGGAGGAGGAGGUGGAUGUGGAGUAGGAGGUUGAGCAGGCAGUGACCGUGGCUGCGACGACGCAUUUGGAUGUCUGCCCUAUCAACUUUCGAUGUUACUUUCUGCGCCUACCAUGGUGACCACGGGUAACGGGGAAUCAGGGUUCGAUUCCGGAGAGGGAGGCUGAGAAAUGGCUACCACAUCCAAGGAAGGCAGCAGGCACGCAAAUUACCCACUCCCCACGUGGGGAGGUAGUGACGA
rnacentral:rRNA from 1 species